rnacentral:rRNA from 1 species
AGUGAACGCUGGCGGUAGGCCUAACACAUGCAAGUCGAACGGCAACACAGUAAGAGCUUGCUCUUACGGGUGGCGAGUGGCGGGCGGGUGAGGAAUACAUCCGGAUCUACUUUUUCGUGUGGGUUAACGUAGGUAGACUUACUCUAAUACCGCAUACGACCUACCGGUGAAAGCAGGGGAACUUCUGACCUUGCGCGAUUGAACGAGCCGCUGUCGGAUUAGCUAGUUGGCGGGGUAAUGGCCCACCAAGGCGACGAUCCGUAGCUGGUCUGAGAGGAUGGUCGGCGACACUGGAACGUGGACACGGUCCAGACUCCUACGGGAGGCAGCAGUGGGGAAUAUUGGACAAUGGGCGCAAACCUGAUACAGCCAUACCGCGUGAGUGACGAAGGCGUUCGGGUUGUAAAGCCCGUUUGUUGGGAAAGAAAAGCAGCAGGUUAAGACGCCGCUGUUCUGACGGUACCCAAAGAAUAAGCACCGGCUAACUUCGUG